UGCCCGAGUGGUACAACAGCUGUCAGCAGCUCCUACCCAUGUCGGAAUGCUUUCCAGAUUAUUCGUCUCUGUGGAUCAGCAGCACAUGGAUGUGACGGAAAUCAAAUUCAUCAGUUCAAGAGAAGAAGUCAUCAGUGUAGCAUGGCGUGGCUUCGAUAUGAUGUAUGACACUCAUCCAAGCUCUUUGCAUCCCUGAGUUCCAGCAGCCCUACAGUACUUCCAGGAACUCCUUUGUUUACACCAGCAGAAGGCUCAUCUUGCUGGAAAGAAACUGACUUGAACAACGCCGUCUCUGGCCAACCUGCAUUGUUUCAGAUGUCUAAGCAGCAUGUUGGAUGUUAUUCCGCCUGCAUGGGUUUUCUUCAGAUAAAGUUGCAGUAAGUGAUCAGAAAAAGCAAAAAGUGUCAUACUACUGACCAAACAAACUUUCAACGCCAAAUGAACUCCCUGCACUCAGCUUACCCUUCCACAGGAAUCAUCACCUCCCUCGCCAUGGUCCCGCCCACGCUCCUUUUGGCAACAGUGACGGCACUGCUGGUGAACAAAUCGCUUCCAGCUCGGGUCACAUUCGAGAUGUUUAAUCUGGGGGGAAACCAGAUGUGCUCUGUGAAGAUGUACACGAACAAAUAGCAUUACCUUUCUUUAAUGUGUGGUAUCAUUUUCCUCAUGACAAUCACAGAGAACAAGAACAAUAAACAC